GGUGUAGUCGAUGGGAAACGGGUUAAUAUUCCCGUACCUUGGAUAGCUGCGAUGGAGAGACGGAGAAGGCUAGGUGAGCCGGGCGACGGUUGUCCCGGUUUAAGCGAGUAGGGAGUGGACUUAGGCAAAUCCGGGUCCACAAUCUCGAGACGCGACGACGACUGCUCUUAGAGCGGGAAGUCAUUGAUGCCAUGCUUCCAGGAAAAUCUUCUAAGCUUCAGGCUAUUCGAGACCGUACCCCAAACCGACACAGGUGGGCGAGGAGAGUAUCCUAAGGCGUUUGAGAGAACUCGGGAGAAGGAACUCGGCAAAUUUGAACCGUAACUUCGGGAUAAGGUUCGC
rnacentral:rRNA from 13 species